UCGGGUGUAGUGGAUGGGACACACUCCCUCCUCUUCCAUUAAAUACAACACAAAUUGAAGGAGAGUCCCGGGUUCGACUCCCGGCGCCCGAA